UGCUUCCGCGUACUUCUCAGCUCAAUGGCAACUUAAAUUAGCACAACAACAGCGUCAUUAGCAGCUGGCAAAUGGUUAUCGGGCGUUUUGUAGGGGCAAUAUGAUGAAACGAACAGUACAAGCACACUGUUGUAGGAUGUUGGUAAUAUAUACUCGUAUGUAUAUCGUAUAGUGGACAUGGAUCUGCUACAUAUCUAGACCGCACAAUGAAAUGUUGUAUAUGAUGAGUGAUUAGCGUAGGAUCGACGAGGGGAAGAGGUAAAGCUAACUUACGUGCUUUUGUACAUAGAUGCAUGUUCGCACGGGCUUGUGAAUUUUAUAUAUAAUGCACUAAUUGACAAAUUGAUUUAAGUGAGUCUAUACCUUUUGUGAUGGAAAAAUAAUAAUUAUGUUGUUUCUUUGCUGGUUUGGGAGUGUUCAUGGACAACGUGUAAACAGAAUGUUAUAUAUUUAGAAGCAAUGUGUCAGCAGU
rnacentral:misc_RNA from 1 species